AGGGGCUUAGGAUAACAACCUAGACCGAGAGCCUUCAAAGCUCUAAGCAGGAGUGAAAACCUCCUAGCCCCUG
rnacentral:tRNA from 1 species